rfam:Schistosoma curassoni strain Dakar, Senegal genome assembly, scaffold: SCTD_scaffold0003983
AUUCAGCUGACGAGUUUCAAAUGGGACGAAACGCAGAUCCUGGAU